AUUGAACGCUGGCGGCAGGCUUAACACAUGCAAGUCGAGCGAGCGGCGGACGGGUGAGUAAUGUCUGGGAAACUGCCAGGUGGAGGGGGAUAACUACUGAAAAGGGUAGCUAAUACCGCAUACCAUCAGAUGUGCCCAGAUGGGAUUAGCUAGUAGGUGGGGUAAUGGCUCCCCUAGGCGACGAUCCCUCGCUGGUCUGAGAGGAUGACCAGCCACACUGGAACUGAGACACGGGCCAGACUCCUACGGGAGGCAGCAGUGGGGAAUAUUGCACAAUGGGCGCAAGCCUGAUGCAGCCAUGCCGCGUGUGUGAAGAAGGCCUUCGGGUUGUAAAGCACUUUCAGCGAGGAGGCGUUACCCGCAGAAGAAGCACCGGCUAACUCCGUGCCAGCAGCCGCGGUAAUUC
rnacentral:rRNA from 1 species